rnacentral:rRNA from 1 species
GACGAACGCUGGCGGCGUGCUUAACACAUGCAAGUCGAACGAAGUGGCGCACGGGUGAGUAAUACGUGAGUAACCUGCCCUCCUUUUUGGGAUAAGCCUUGGAAACGGGGUCUAAUACCGAAUAAAGGGGGAUGGGCUCGCGGCCUAUCAGGUUGUUGGUGGGGUGAUGGCGUAUCAAGGCGGUGACGGGUAGCCGGCCUGAGAGGGUAAACGGGCACAGUGGGACUGAGAAACGGCCCAGGCUCGUACGGGGGGGAGCAGUGGGGGAUAUUGCACAAUGGGCGAAAGCCUGAUGCAGCGACGCCGCGUAGGGGAUGAAGGCUCUCGGGUUGUAAACCUCGGUCGCUAUCGAACGGGUAGCUGGAGAAGAAGCGACGGCUAACUACGUGCCAGCAGCCGCGGUAAUUC